rfam:Gossypium raimondii Chr04_contig_1400, whole genome shotgun sequence.
CUUUGUAUUCUUCCACAGCUUUCUUGAACUGCAACUACGUCUUAGAUGAUGCAUGUGAGCGGUUUUAAGUAUCAAUUGCGGUUCAAUAAAGCUGUGGGAAGAUACAAAUA